rnacentral:rRNA from 2 species
CCAGGGCUACACACGUGCUACAAUGGCGCAUACAAAGAGAAGCGACCUCGCGAGAGCAAGCGGACCUCAUAAAGUGCGUCGUAGUCCGGAUUGGAGUCUGCAACUCGACUCCAUGAAGUCGGAAUCGCUAGUAAUCGUGGAUCAGAAUGCCACGGUGAAUACGUUCCCGGGCCUUGUACACACCGCCCGUCACACCAUGGGAGUGGGUUGCAAAAGAAGUAGGUAGCUUAACCUUCGGGAGGGCGCUUACCACUUUGUGAUUCAUGACUGGGGUGAAGUCGUAACAAGGUAACCGUAGGGGAACCUGCGGUUGGAUCACCUCCUUACCUUAAAGAAGC